CGGAUCCGGACUCGUUCUGGUAACGCUCGAUCACCUGGAAUGAGAAGUGGAGGUUACUCAUGUGAAGUGCUGGAACAAAACUAUUUGCUAUCGGUAAUUGGUGAAGUUGGUGACACGAUAUGACGAUUUCUCAUUAACAUCUAUUGGCGAUGACAUCUGUGGAGGAGAUUUGCUGUACACUGAUUAAUACAACAGUCCCGUUCAUGGUAGAUUCAGCGAAGCACUGCUCUUGUUAGGACUAGUGUUAGCAAAUUUUCUCAGGUUGAACCCGUGAGCUCACCUACCAGUCAGGGCGUAGUUGGAAUAUCCUCUUAGGCUACCAGCGAACAGGUAGGGGAAAAAACAGUCCAGUUUGUGCCAAUAUGCAAAUAUACGUUGCAGUAGGAGUACCAACCACCCUUGCUACUUACAUCUGAAGCCUCAAGGAGGAGCUACCCGUGAAUAGCCCUGCCUAUCUACGACAGUUAAAAAAUAAUAGCCUAACAACAAAAGGGCUAUUUAUACCUUAAACGUGAGCGUCGUGCAAGUCCAAAUAGAGAAUCCAAAUUAACAUAUUACGUUUAUCGCUUAAUCGCUGUUCUAAUGAUAAUGAUAAUGCUUCGAAAUGACCUCAACUGAACUCUGAGAUGUUAUCUAGUCUAGAAUGUACUUAAACUGAUAAACAAGCAUUUACCAUCGCACCGCCCGCCACCGGAGUAGAGUUCAACCAUACUACCUGGAGCCACUGCGGUCAUCCACAGUGCGUUUCCAGAGAUCUUUUUUGCCACGUACCAUCCGGCUAUGGAAUGAGCUCCCCUCCAUGGUGUUUCCCGAGCGCUAUGACAUGUCCUUCUUCAAACAAGGCUUGUAGAGAGUAUUAAGCGGUAGGCAGCGGCUUGGCUCUGCCCCUGGCAUUGCUGAAGUCCAUGGGUGACGGUAACCACUCACCAUCAGGUGGGCCGUAUGCUCGUCUGCCUACAUGGGCAAUAAAAAAAAAGCGGUUUUUAAUGGUAAUCGAUUAAUUAAUGUUUAUGGAAAACCUCUCGUUCAACAUUCUCCAGGAAUUUUACUGGUGGUAGGACCUCUUGUGAGCCCACACGGGUAGGUACUACCACCCUGCCUAUUUUAGCCGUAAAGCAGUAAUGCGUUUCGGUUUGAAGGGUGGGGCAGCCGUUGUAACUAUACGGAGACCUUAGAACUCUUAUCUCAAGGUGGGUGGCGCAUUUACGUUGUAGAAGUCUAUUUGUCUAUGGGCUCCAGUAACCACUUAACACCAGGUGUGCUGUGAGCUCGUCCACCCAUCUAAGCAAUAAAUAAAAAUAAUUGUCUGUUAACCACAAAAGAGCUUCCCAUUCUCUCCUUCGAACUUACCACUCUCAAAAGUACUAAGUGUCUUCACAAACUGUACUUAAAAUAAUCAGUUAUUUCGUUUCACGUAAUGACGUUUAUUGAAAGUUCAAAGAAAAUACAAUAAAACCUUUCGUCGUUAAGUAAUAUGUUAUUUAUAUUUCAAUGAAUAAUUAAUUUUACCUACCGUUUCGUAACGAAAUCCGGGUUAGCGUGUUAUGUUUUUAUUCUUAUCGUUCUUGCGAGCUAGCGACGAGAUAACCAACAAUUAAAGAUAUAUGUAAUUAUAGCGGAAAUUUAAAUUAUUAUAUUUUGAAAGAUAACAAAAAAAACUUAAAAAUUGUCUUUUUUUGGCCUUUUAUUCCACAUUAUGUGAGGAAGCUGCAUGUCCUUUCUUUCGAUUAAGGUCAGUCAUACGUCAUCUCUACUCAUACUCAGACCCUAUUCUCGCAUAUCCUCUAUCACACAGUCCAUUUAAGUCCUUUUAAGAAACUCGCGUGUCACAUUAAAAAAAAAAGAGGUUGAUAAAUUUCUCCAUUACUAAUUGAAACAUUGAAUUUUUUCCAUAGCAGUCGAUUACACCGAAUAAAAAAUCAUAAAAAUCAGUAGUGAAAUUAUGAAAAAUUGUGUUGUUUACCUGAUAGUUCUGCUGGUGGUAAAUAAAUAUUUUGGGUGACCAUGAAUUUUUAAGGAAAACUAGACAGGGCAAGAUGGAUGGGUGGCAUAAACCCUUUGCAGAAAAAUUGGCUCCUUAUUAAAGGACAAAUAAAUAUAGCAUUAUUUUGUU